rnacentral:sRNA from 17 species
ACCGGAUCUAGCCUGACGGGGCGAAAAGCGGCAAACCUUACCGCCUGAUCUGGUCAUCUUUUUAAGG